UAUAAUUUCACGUCCAUUCAAUAUGUAAAUGACAACAAUUUUUUCAUUUAUAUUUUCAUUUCAUUUUCAUUCAUUUCAUUUAUAUUUUCAUUCAUUUCAUUUAUAUUUUCAUUUAUUUAUAUUAACAUUUCAUUUAUAUUCCAAUUUUUUCAUUCCCUGAGGCCAGGUGAUCUCGUGUUCGUAUUUUAGCCAAUCAGCGCUCAGAAAGGGUUGUCCGAAUAGAAAUCCAUUUUGAUGUAUUCAGUCAAUUAUAUCUUUUGUUACCCUUUAUGAAACUAGUUGAAAUUUUGUUAUUAUGUUUGGUUAUGAGAACGAAAGCUCUGACAAAAAUAUGGAAUCGAAAUAAAGUAUAUUACAGGAAAUAUUCAGUUGUUUUAAUCACAAAAUGGAUUUCUAUUUGACAACUAGUGCCAGUACUUUUCCGCGUAUCAAGAUCACCUGGCCGAAUUAUAUCCAAAAUCUUUUCACUUCCAACAUAGCUAAUAGAGGAGAUGGUUUGGAAACUCGUUAGCAUUACAAUAAAAUUACAAUAAACCUCAUUAUAAUAUAGUCAUCCACCGUAUAUGAGCUGUUCUGCAAUCUGAUUGGUUGAAUUACUCGCCGUAUAUCAGCUCAUAUACGGCGAGUAGCGAAAAACAAGAUGGCGGUCCAAAAACUACAUGAGUUUUGCGAAGCAGAACAAGAAAAAUAUUCCCUUUGAGAAACAUAAGAGUACAAGGAAAACAACAGCGAAAAAACAUGUUCAUUGAAAAUAUAAAUUGUUCAGAAAAGUUUGCAAUGGACGACAAAUGAAUUUGCAGUCAACAAGCACUUACUAUAGUACCAAACAUCUGUAUAAUAUAUCUGAG